GUAGGUGGCAAGCGUUGUCCGGAAUUAUUGGGCGUAAAGCGCGCGCAGGCGGUCCUUUAAGUCUGAUGUGAAAGCCCACGGCUCAACCGUGGAGGGUCAUUGGAAACUGGGGGGACUUGAGUACAGAAGAGGAAAGCGGAAUUCCAAGUGUAGCGGUGAAAUGCGUAGAGAUUUGGAGGAACACCAGUGGCGAAGGCGGCGUUUCUGGUCUGUAACUGACGCUGAGGCGCGAAAGCGUGGGGAGCAAACAGGGAUUAGAUACCCUGGUAGUCCACGCCGUAAACGAUGAGUGCUAAGUGUUAGGGGGUUUCCGCCCCCUUAGUGCUGCAGCUAACGCAUUAAGCACUCCGCCUGGGGAGUACGCGCAAGGCUG
rnacentral:rRNA from 1 species